GUUUCUGGAGUUUGUCGAACGGCAAGUGCUCCGACGCUAUCGCACGGUGGUUCUCGGCUGAACGCCUCUAAGCCAGAAGCCAGUCCCAAGACCAGAUGCCCACUCGACAACAAAAAGCAUGUAUUUUGUUGUUGCUUGUUUUUGCUGAGUGUGUCAUAUAUAUAUAUAUAUAUGUAUAUGUAUAUGUAUGCAGCUGUCUUUUUUGGGAAGAGUAGAGAAGGAAGAGGUUAUAUACUUCACCGGCGCGGCGGGGGGAGGAGCGGCACGCAUGGGUUUUUCCUGUGUGUGUGUGUGUGUCUGCGUAAUGUAUAGAUGUUUAU
rnacentral:ncRNA from 1 species